rnacentral:sRNA from 1 species
ACAGAGAAGAACACAUCGCGUUUUUCUUUCUAUCCACUGAUCCCCAAUUCCCCCAUUCCUCUCUUUCUCUGAACAAGUCCGAUCGGCCAGGGCGAGGGAGGCCGCCAGGACGCCAGCGAGGCAGCGACGUGCCUCCAGGCUGCGCGCCCGCCCCCACGCCAUCGCCGCCUCAAAGCUCCGUCGUCGUCACCGAGGAGUGACGCCUUCAGGCUCCCGCGCCGCGCCCUGACCCUCUGCCGUUGUGCGCCUUGCUCAUCGGCCGAGUCGCCGCCUGCCAAUGCAACGCACAGCGUGAGAGCUGCACAACAGCCACAUGCAAUCUUUUGAUUUGGUUCUACCGCUUGAUCUUGGGAAUUGGAAUGAAUCAUGUAACUGCUCUCUUUUGAUUUAUGGAUCUGAUGUAUGUCUUUAUUAAAACAAAAAGACAAUAGAUUUGUCAUCUGUGUGUGCAUGUGUAAGCAUUUUAUUCUCAAUUCGUACGGGACUUCUGUGUAUCCAUUAUCUCUAAUUCUCUACUUCCAAAUUCCUAAAAUUUUCUC